GAGUCUCACUCUGUCACCCAGGCUGGAGUGCAGAGGAGCAAUAGUUGCUCACUAUAACCUCAAACUCCUAGGCCUCAGCAAUCCUCUGGCCGCAGCUUCCUGAGUGACUAGGACUACAGAACAUGCCUGCUUCCGCUUUCACCACAAUUAUAGCAGCUGUGGUUCACUUAGCAAUGAGUGGCACAUGCUGAAAAGAAGCCAGUAUGGACACCAAGGAUAAGAAAAACAGGAAGUGGCAGCACAUGGGGCAGAAGAUGGGUGAGAGGAGAACGGUGAAGAGGACGCACAAGUCCCAUAGACAACAGAGGUAAAAAGAAAUAACAGGAGCAAUGGGGGAAAAAAAACUCAUUUGGCAGAUACUUUUCUGUUCCCAGCAUUAGCCAAGCAAUAUGGUUAGGCUUUGUAUACCAACCCAAAUCUCAUCUUGAA